UACGUAGGGGGCGAGCGUUGUCCGGAUUCAUUGGGCGUAAAGAGCUCGUAGGUGGCCAACUAAGUCAGACGUGAAAUCCCUCAGCUUAACUGGGGAACUGCGUCUGAUACUGGAUGGCUUGAGUUUGGGAGAGGGAUGCGGAAUUCCAGGUGUAGCGGUGAAAUGCGUAGAUAUCUGGAGGAACACCGGUGGCGAAGGCGGCAUCCUGGACCAAUACUGACACUGAGGAGCGAAAGCCAGGGGAGCAAACGGG
rnacentral:rRNA from 1 species